AGCAGCCGCGGUAAUUCCAGCUCCAAUAGCGUAUAUUAAAGUUGUUGCAGUUAAAAAGCUCGUAGUUGAAUUUCGGGGUCAGCAGGUUGGUCGUGCCACUGGUAUGUACUGGCUUAGCUGAUUCCUCCCUCUUGUAGAACCGUAAUGCCAUUAAUUUGGUGUUGCGGGGAAACAGGACUGUUACUUUGAAAAAAUUAGAGUGUUUAAAGCAGGCUAACGCUUGAAUACAUUAGCAUGGAAUAAUGAAAUAGGACGUUCGAUCCUAUUUUGUUGGUUUCUAGGAUUGACGUAAUGAUUAAUAGGGACAGUUGGGGGCAUUAGUAUUCAAUUGUCAGAGGUGAAAUUCUUGGAUUCAUUGAAGACUAACUACUGUCGAAAGCAUUUGCCAAGGAUGUUUUCAUUAAUCAAGAACGAAAGUUAGGGGAUCGAAGACGAUCAGAUACCGUCGUAGUCUUAACCAUAAACUAUGCCGACUAGGGAUCGGAUGAUGUUAAUUUUAAUGACUCAUUCGGCGCCUUAC
rnacentral:rRNA from 1 species